GACGAACGCUGGCGGCGUGCUUAACACAUGCAAGUCGAGCGAGGCCCUCCUUCGGGGGGUGCCCUAGCGGCGAACGGGUGAGUAACACGUGGGCAACCUGCCCUCAGCUCUGGGAUAACUCCAAGAAAUUGGUGCUAAUACCGGAUGUGACCGCUGACCGCAUGGUCUGGUGGUGGAAAGAUUCAUCGGCUGAGGAUGGGCCCGCGGCCUAUCAGCUUGUUGGUGGGGAAUGGCCCACCAAGGCGACGACGGGUAGCCGGCCUGAGAGGGUGACCGGCCACACUGGGACUGAGACACGGCCCAGACUCCUACGGGAGGCAGCAGUGGGGAAUAUUGCGCAAUGGGCGAAAGCCUGACGCAGCGACG
rnacentral:rRNA from 1 species